rnacentral:rRNA from 1 species
CCCUUAGAUGGUCUGGGCCGCACGCGCGCUACACUGACGAAGUCAGCGAGCAUGUCCUACGCCGACAGGUGCGGGGAAUCUUGUCAAACUUCGUCGUGAUGGGGAUUGAUUAUUGAAAUUCUUGAUCAUCAACGAGGAAUUCCUAGUAAGCGCAAGUCAGCAGCUUGCGUUGAUUACGUCCCUGCCCUUUGUACACACCGCCCGUCGCUACUACCGAUUGAAUGGUUUAGUGAGAUCUUCGGAUUGGCGCCACUGCGGCUCAGCAAUGGGCUCGGUGGAUGCCGAAAAGUUGAUCAAACUUGAUCAUUUAGAGGAAGUAAAAGUCGUAACA